UUACUACUCCCUCUGUUCGGAUUACUUGUCUCGAAAAUGGAUGUAUCUAGAACUAAAAUACGUCUAGAUACAUCCAUUUCUGCGACAAGUAAUUCCGGACGGAGGGAGUACAUA
rfam:Triticum aestivum genome assembly, contig: Triticum_aestivum_CS42_TGACv1_scaffold_221466_3B